CAACGCGACCCCAGUCAG
rnacentral:rRNA from 2 species